rnacentral:rRNA from 1 species
AGAGUUUGAUCCUGGCUCAGAUUGAACGCUGGCGGCAUGCCUUACACAUGCAAGUCGAACGGCAGCACGGGAGUAAUCCUGGUGGCGAGUGGCGAACGGGUGAGUAACAUAUCGGAACGUGCCCAGUCGUGGGGGAUAACGCAGCGAAAGCUGUGCUAAUACCGCAUACGAUCUCUGGAUGAAAGCGGGGGACUCUGCAAAGAGCCUCGCGCGAUUGGAGCGGCCGAUAUCAGAUUAGCUAGUUGGUGGGGUAAAAGCCCACCAAGGCGACGAUCUGUAGCUGGUCUGAGAGGACGACCAGCCACACUGGAACUGAGACACGGUCCAGACUCCUACGGGAGGCAGCAGUGGGGAAUUUUGGACAAUGGGCGAAAGCCUGAUCCAGCAAUGCCGCGUGCAGGAUGAAGGCCUGCGGGUUGUAAACUGCUUUUGUACGGAACGAAACGGUUCACUCUAAUACGGUGGGCUAAUGACGGUACCGUAAGAAUAAGCACCGGCUAACUACGUGCCAGCAGCCGCGGUAAUACGUAGGGUGCGAGCGUUAAUCGGAAUUACUGGGCGUAAAGCGUGCGCAGGCGGUGAUGUAAGACAGAUGUGAAAUCCCCGGGC